UUUAUUUUAUAGGAUAUGUUUAGCAUACAAACUUGCAAAUACUCCAGACCACAAUUUGAUUUGAGCAAUGGAGAAUCUAAAGCCCACACAUUCCAUUCCCAGAGACUAAACAAUCAUAUUAAGCAACAGCAACAGCUUCUGUAGGCUUCGAUUCUGGCUCAGCUGGUGCUUCUUCAGUCUUUGAUUCUGGAGCUUCAGCAGGCUUCGUUUCUAGUGCAGCUGGUGUUUCAGCCGUCUUUGAUUCUGGUGCAGCUGGUGCUUCUGCUGCUUCCCAGUAAGAAGAUGCCUUCCCGGUUUUAGAAACGGUCUGCAGAACAGCUUCUGGCUGGACAUUGCCCUUCAC
rnacentral:lncRNA from 1 species